rnacentral:rRNA from 1 species
CAGUAGCCACGGGAAUACGUAGGGGGCAAGCGUUAAUCGGAUUUACUGGGCGUAAAGCGUGCGUAGGCGGCUUCUUAAGUCGGAUGUGAAAUCCCUGAGCUUAACUUAGGAAUUGCAUUCGAUACUGGGAAGCUAGAGUAUGGGAGAGGAUGGUAGAAUUCCAGGUGUAGCGGUGAAAUGCGUAGAGAUCUGGAGGAAUACCGAUGGCGAAGGCAGCCAUCUGGCCUAAUACUGACGCUGAGGUACGAAAGCAUGGGGAGCAAACAGGAUUAGAUACCCCGGUAGUCCCUGUCUCUUAUAC